rnacentral:snRNA from 1 species
CUACUUACCUGGCAGGGGAGAUACCAUGAUCACUAAGGUGGUUCUCCCAGGGCGAGGCUCAUCCAUUGCACUCCGGGUGUGCUGACCCCUGCGAUUUCCCCAAAUGCGGGAAACUCGACUGCAUAAUUUGUGGUAGUGGGGGACUGCGAUCGCGCUCUCCCCUG